rnacentral:pre_miRNA from 1 species
UCUGAAAUCUUGGAUCAGGCUCUGGUCAUGUGCAUAUAUUGCGCUAUAUAUGCUAAUAUUGCACUUGACCAUGGCCUCGUCUAGAAAGUAAGACAGUUUCAGA